rnacentral:snRNA from 1 species
GUGCUCACUGUAGUAGCACAUACAUUAAAAUUGGAAAGAUAUAAAGAAGAUUACCAUGGCCCCUGCACAAAAUACGUACUGUCCUAGAGAGGUCUUAACCAACUGAU